UACGUAGGGACCAAGCGUUGUUCGGAUUUACUGGGCGUAAAGGGCGCGCAGGCGGUUCUUUAAGUCUGAUGUGAAAGCCCACGGCUCAACCGUGGAGGGUCAUUGGAAACUGGAGAACUUGAGUACAGAAGAGGAAAGCGGAAUUCCACGUGUAGCGGUGAAAUGCGUAGAGAUGUGGAGGAACACCAGUGGCGAAGGCGGCUUUCUGGUCUGUAACUGACGCUGAGGCGCGAAAGCGUGGGGAGCAAACAGG
rnacentral:rRNA from 1 species